CUGAUUCCAAGAAGUAGAAAAGAAUGCUUAUUUAACAGUUACUGCCAUCUUCGCUCACAUACAGAGUACAUGGGGGAGUCAAGACAUUUCCUGAAAAUCCCUCAGAGGUGAGUGAGGUAGUGACUUGGGGUAGCAAGACUGUCCUCCUAAGUCAGUUGAGGAGUGACAUCGGGAUGAAGCUCCACCCACAAGCCCUGCCCACAGAGGUCUUCUCCCUGAGUGUGUCCUCCUUUAGUACAAGAUGAGGUUUAACUUAUUGCUAAUGUGUUUCACAUUUUCCCUCCCCACCCAUGUAAAGCUUGUCCCAAAAAAGCUGUUCUUUGAUGAGGACUUUUUCCUAAGUCCUUGUCCAUUCUCCCCACACAUGCAGAAUUUCUAUUCAAUAUACUCUGGGGCUUACUGCGGGGUGACUCAUGGCUGAAGCCUUAUCUACACUCCUUAUAUACCUAACAUGUCUUAGAAUCAAUUAUCUGGACAGACAACGAGACAGAAAAUUGAGGAUUCACUGGGGAGUGAGGGCAGGACUGGGCAGAGGAAGAAGCUGACCUGCAAUGUGUCUGCAACCCAGUGAUCCUUCAGUUCGAUGGGGAUCUCUGGAUCUGGAAUGACCUUCUGGAGUUGUCCCCGUUGAGUCAAGGGUUGGGGCCAGAAGGUACCCCUGCAAAGGUGCAUUGCCCCUGUGGUGCAUGCAGCUCCCUGUGGCUGAGAGUGAGUUCCAGAGCGGAGUGCAUCUCUGGAAUGCAUCUCUGCCAGCAGCAACACUGUUCUCUCAAGCAGCUGGGGUGUUACCCCUGAAAAGGUCAUCUGGGCAGAGCUCCACAGUGUCCCCACAUGCAGAUUCUCCCUGUGGUGUGUGAUCACAAAAGCUUUGCCCAUACAUCCUACAAACAAAGACCUCCUUCCUGAGGGCCACUCUGUGCCUGAGUGUCCAUUCUUUUACUGAUGCUCCCCAACACUCCCCAGACAAGGGUGCUUUCCCCUGAGGCUGUCAUUGGAUGUCUGGUAAAUGUUGAUUAUUGCUAAAGCCUUCCCACAGUCCCUACACAUAAACUUCUCUCCUAAGUGUGUCCUUUUGUGCAUGCUCAAGGCUGACUGAUGGCUACAGUUGCCCGUACUCUAUACUCAUAAGGCUCCUCUCCUGAACGUGUCCCUCCCAUGCCUGAUAAGGGCUGACACAUCUCUGGAACUUCACUCACAAUCUGUGUACACAGGGUCUACUCCCCAUGUGUCUCUCUGGGGUAACAUGAGGCUUGACUGGUCACUCAGGUCUUGUUCAUGACCCCUGCAUACACAGGUUUCUCCCGUCAGUGUGUCCUCUGGUGUCUGAUGAGAUUUGACUUAUGACUAAAGCCUCGCCCACACUCCCUACAAACAUAAUGCUUCUCCCCUGAGUGUGUCCUCUGGUGGACAAGGAGGAGUGAUUUCCGGCUAAAGCCUCGGCCACACUCACUGCACACGUAAGGCUUCUCUCCUGAGUGUGUCCUCUCAUGUACAAUGAGGGUUGACUUGUCACAAAAGCCUCGCCCACAUUCCCUGCAAAUAUAAGGCUUCUCAUUUGAGUGCGUCCUCUGGUGUCUGAUGAGAUUUGACUUCUGGCUAAAACCUCGCCUACACUCCCUGCAGACAUAAUGCUUCUCCCCUGAGUGUGUCCUCUGGUGGACAAGGAGGAGUGAUUUCCGACUAAAGCCUCGGCCACACUCACCACACACAUAAGGCUUCUCUCCAGAGUGCGUCCGCUCGUGUAUGAUGAGGGUUGACUUGUCACAAAAGCCUCGCCCACACUCCCUGCAAACAUAAGGCUUCUCAUCCAAGUGUGUCCUCUGGUGUUUGAUGAGAUCUGAGUUCUGGCUAAAGCCUCGCCCACACUCCCUGCAAACAUAGGGUUUCUCACCGGAGUGUGUCCUCUGGUGUCUGAUGAAGGAUGACUUCUCGCUAAAGCCUCGCCCACACUCGCUGCAAACAUAGGGCUUCUCCUCUGAGUGAGUCCACUGAUGUCUAUUGAGGAUGGACUUACUUCUAAAGCUUUGCCCACACUCCCUGCACAAAUAAGGCUUCUCUUCUGAAUGUGUUCUCUGGUGUCUGCUGAGGUUGGACUUCUGGCUAAAACCUCGCCCGCACUCACUGCACACAUAAGGCUUCUCCAUCGAGUGUAUACGAUGGUGUCUGAUGAGGGUUGAUCUAUCUUUAAAGCUUCGCCCACAAUCACUGCAAAUGUAGGGCUUCUUCCCUAAGAGGGUCCUCGGGUUUGUAAUAAAGUUUGAUUCCAGGUUAUGGUCCGGUUCAUACUCUCUACAGUUGAUUGCUCCAAAUCUCAAGGUUUCUAAUUCCUUCAAGCCUUUGUCUAGCUGCACAGGGUUUGGUCUUUGGGCUGAGCUGGGCUCUGUUUCUACCACCAUGUUGCCUUUUCUAGGACUUGCUGACUGUCUUUGGAGUGGGCUGGGGAAUGCCCUUGAGGUUUCUCUCUCCUCUGUCCUUGCAGACCAGGGUUUGGAGCCACCUCCUCUCUCCUGACCUUCUGCAUUUUCAAACCAACAGCUUACAUGGGAAUACUGCUGCCCCUGCUGUUUCCAAUGCCCUGGGCUAGAAUUCCCUGGAUGGAAGUGAUUUUCUGCACAUAAGCCCAGGAAGAUCUGAAGUACAUGUUGACUGAGGAACUGCUGACAGGAGAAGGCCAGAAGGCAGGAGGAACAAGUGUAGAUUUCUG
rnacentral:lncRNA from 1 species